UUGAAGAGUUUGAUCAUGGCUCAGAUUGAACGCUGGCGGCAGGCCUAACACAUGCAAGUCGAACGGUAGCACAGAGAGCUUGCUCUCGGGUGACGAGUGGCGGACGGGUGAGUAAUGUCUGGGAAACUGCCUGAUGGAGGGGGAUAACUACUGGAAACGGUGGCUAAUACCGCAUAACGUCGCAAGACCAAAGAGGGGGACCUUCGGGCCUCUUGCCAUCAGAUGUGCCCAGAUGGGAUUAGCUAGUUGGUGAGGUAACGGCUCACCAAGGCGACGAUCCCUAGCUGGUCUGAGAGGAUGACCAGCCACACUGGAACUGAGACACGGUCCAGACUCCUACGGGAGGCAGCAGUGGGGAAUAUUGCACAAUGGGCGCAAGCCUGAUGCAGCCAUGCCGCGUGUAUGAAGAAGGCCUUCGGGUUGUAAAGUACUUUCAGCGGGGAGG
rnacentral:rRNA from 1 species